UACGAAGGGUGCAAACGUUGCUCGGAAUUAUUGGGCGUAAAGCGCACGUAGGCGGCAUUGCAAGUCGGAUGUGAAAUCCCUCGGCUUAACCAAGGAAGUGCAUCCGAAACUGCAGUGCUUGAGUACUUAAGAGGAUCGCGGAAUUCCCGGUGUAGAGGUGAAAUUCGUAGAUAUCGGGAAGAACAUCGGUGGCGAAGGCGCUCUACUGGACCACAACUGACACUCAGGGACGAAAGCUAGGGGAGCGAAUGGG
rnacentral:rRNA from 1 species